rnacentral:rRNA from 1 species
GACGAACGCUGGCGGCGUGCUUAACACAUGCAAGUCGAGCGGAAAGGCCCUUUCGGGGGUACUCGAGCGGCGAACGGGUGAGUAACACGUGAGUAAUCUGCCCUUGGCUUUGGGAUAACCACCGGAAACGGUGGCUAAUACCGGAUAUGACGCGCUCCGGCAUCGGGGGGUGUGGACAGUUUUUUCGGCCAGGGAUGUACUCGCGGCCUAUCAGCUUGUUGGUGGGGUAAUGACCUACCAAGGCUUCGACGGGUAGCCGGCCUGAGAGGGUGACCGGCCACACUGGGACUGAGACACGGCCCAGACUCCUACGGGAGGCAGCAGUGGGGAAUAUUGGACAAUGGGCGGAAGCCUGAUCCAGCAACGCCGCGUGAGGGAUGACGGCCUUCGGGUUGUAAACCUCUUUCAGUACCGACGAAGCGCCGAUGAUGGUGGUGACGGUAGGUACAGAAGAAGCACCGGCCAACUACGUGCCAGCCGCCGCCGUAA